GAUGAACGCUGGCGGCGUGCCUAAUACAUGCAAGUCGAGCGAACGGACGAGAAGCUUGCUUCUCUGAUGUUAGCGGCGGACGGGUGAGUAACACGUGGAUAACCUACCUAUAAGACUGGGAUAACUUCGGGAAACCGGAGCUAAUACCGGAUAAUAUUUUGAACCGCAUGGUUCAAAAGUGAAAGACGGUCUUGCUGUCACUUAUAGAUGGAUCCGCGCUGCAUUAGCUAGUCGGUAAGGUAACGGCUUACCAAGGCAACGAUGCAUAGCCGACCUGAGAGGGUGAUCGGCCACACUGGAACUGAGAGACGGUCCAGAGUCCUACGGGAGGCCGCAGUAGGGAAGCUUCCGAGAUGGGCGAAAGCCUGACGGAGCAACGCCGCGUGGGUGAUGAAGGUCUUCGGAUCGGAAAACUCUGUUAUGAGGGAAGAACAUAUGUGUAAGGAACUGUGCACUUCGUGACGGUACCUAAUCAGAAAGCAACGGCUAACUACGUG
rnacentral:rRNA from 1 species